rnacentral:pre_miRNA from 1 species
AAAAAGGCAAACCCUGAGUUUCCGUGUCCAACUUUGACUGUCCGUCUUAUAUGAAAUUUUUUUUAUAAUUCGUAUUUUUAUUGUUGUAGAUGAUAAAACAUGAUUAAUAUUUUAUGCGUGACUUGUCUUUUUAAUUUUUUUAAUAUUUUUUUCAAAUAAGACAGACGGUCAAACGUUGAGCACGAAAACCAGGGUUUGUCUUUUU